CUCUUCCACUCCCAUCUUGCAUUCAGAAUACAAUGGUGCGAUUCUUCGCAGCGCUGCUUCUAUUGUGCGCCGCUGCACAGAUAUCUGUUGGCGCCGCCGGUAUCGUCACUGCCGUUCUUACAGGGAAGCUGCAGAAUGGUGACUUUGAAAAAGGCCCGUUGCCCUCCCAACUCAAAGGAACUGAAGUGAUUGGCAGGCACUCCCUUCCAGGAUGGGAGACUUCCGGUUUUGUCGAAUACAUUCCCGCAGGACACAAACAGCGCGACAUGCUGCUAGUCGUCCCAUCUGGCUAUUACGCCGUUCGGCUUGGCAAUGAGGCAUCCAUCAAGCAGAAUGUCCGUGUUAUCAAGGGCAUGUACUACUCACUCACCUUCAGUGCCGCCAGGACUUGUGCACAGGAGGAGCAGCUCAAUGUAACAGUUACCCCAGAUUCUGGAUUGCUUCCAAUUCAGACUGUUUACUGUACCGAUGGAUGGGAUACCUAUGCUUGGGGGUUCAAGGCACUCACCUCCGUGGUAGAUGUUAUUAUCCAUAACCCUGGUGUCGAGGAGGAUCCCGCUUGCGGCCCACUCAUCGAUGACAUCGCCAUGACCCUUCUCUAUCCUCCCAAGCUCACCAACGCAAACCUCUUGAAGAAUGCCGACUUUGAGGAAGGCCCAUACAACUUUCCCAACAACACAUGCGGUGUUCUCAUCCCUCCCAACAUUGAGGAUGACCACUCACCACUCCCCGGAUGGAUGGUCGAGUCUCUCAAGGCUGUCAAGUACAUCAGCUCCAACCAUUUCAAGAUCCCCCAUGGGAAGCGGGCGGUCGAGCUUCUGGCGGGCAAAGAGAGUGCCCUGUCGCAGAUUGCCCGCACCAUUCCCAAGAAGAGGUAUACACUCACAUUCUCGGUAGGAGAUGCUGGUGCAGGUUGUGUGGGGCCAAUGAUGAUCGAAGCCUAUGCGGCAAAGAGCAAUGUCAAGAUUCCCUAUACCUCUGUGGGUAAGGGUGGAUACAAGCGCGCUGUCCUCCGGUUCACCGCCACCACUACACGAACAAGGGUGCUCUUUAUCAGCUCCUACUACAGUACUCGGGCUGACGGGGCUCUAUGUGGGCCGGUCCUGGACGAUAUCACUCUCCUCAGUGUCCGCCAGCCAUGAUUAUCACCGGAUAUACCGCCAUCUCGGCGGCCUUUAACGACGAGAAAUAUACUUCAAAUGGAUUGAUAUGAGAUAUGUACUACUACUUAAGAUUUUCCUGAUAUUAUUUUUAGGGUGCUAUUUGGUAAUGUGAGAGUGCUUGAGCAAUAUUAUUAGCCUCAGCUCUGUUCUUAAGAUUUUCCUGAUAUUAUUUUUAGGGUGCUAUUUGGUAAUGUGAGAGUGCUUGAGCAAUAUUAUUAGCCUCAGCUCUGUU
rnacentral:misc_RNA from 1 species